UUUUUUUUUUUUCUGCAUAAUAUUGACCUCCAUGGUUUAAGCCAAAAUAUCCAUUAUAUGUUCAAGUAAUUUUUCGUCAAUAAUCCUUCAGAGUUCAACAUGAAGGUAAAUAAAAUAUCAUUGUUCAUUGGUGGAAAGGUUGGUGGAAGUGUCAUUUUGUUCAUUGGUGUAUUUCUCCACCACCUGUGUCUGAAACUAAUAUAUUGUUUUAUGGUCUUUUGUACAACUUUCUUUCAAGCUUAUGAUUUAAAGGAAUUUCUGCAAUUUUUAAUACAAGGUUGGAUUAAUAAUAAAAUUUGAGAUAAGGAGGAAUUUCUGCAAUUAAUAAUAGAAGGUGGACUAUUUGGAAAUCUCGAAAUAACGUCCUCUUUUCGAAAGGGACUUUUAUGUCGAGUAUCUGGUGGAUAAGGUGAAAUUUUUAUCUUGGAUGUGAUUUGUGGGUAAAAAUUUUGAUUCUCCCUAUUCCUUUUAUGAUCACCUAACUUUAUGCUGGAACUGAUAGAAUUUUUUUGGGUAUCAUGUUGGGUCUUAUUGAGUUGGGAGGAUUGUAGGCUCUCUUUUGCUUAGUCCUACUUUUGGUUGAUCCUUGUCUAUUUUUUUCUGGGGAGUUUUUCUUUGAAGGGCUUUAGUUUUGGUGGUGGCGUGCUUUCUUGUUUGUAAUUUUAUUUGCCAUGUUGUUUUUCUUAUCUUGCCAUAGAGAUUGUUAGGUUCUGAUGGAGCGUGCUUCCUAGCUUGUAAUCUUAUUUGCCAUGUUGUUUUUCUUAUAUUAUCAUAGAGAUUGUUAGGUUCUGAUGGAGCGUACUUCUGGUACCUCUUUAUUUUACUGAACUUUCUCUUGCACUGUGUUCAUUUUUAUAUUUAUAUAUAUUAUAUAUUUAUCAUUAAAAAAAAUAAAAAAUUUGAGAUAUUUAUAUAAUUAAAAAUUUAUUUAACUCUUUAAACAAUUUUACUACAUUUUUUUUACAAAGAAUAUUAUUGCUACUACCUACCGACACUUUCUUAAAACUUUUUUUAAUUAAUAUAUUUACUGUGUAAUCGAUUGAAAUC
rnacentral:lncRNA from 1 species